AGUGAACGCUGGCGGUAGGCCUAACACAUGCAAGUCGAACGGCAGCACAGGAGAGCUUGCUCUCUGGGUGGCGAGUGGCGGACGGGUGAGGAAUACAUCGGAAUCUACCUUUUCGUGGGGGAUAACGUAGGGAAACUUACGCUAAUACCGCAUACGACCUACGGGUGAAAGUGGGGGACCGCAAGGCCUCACGCGAUUAGAUGAGCCGAUGUCCGAUUAGCUAGCUGGCGGGGUAAUGGCCCACCAAGGCGACGAUCGGUAGCUGGUCUGAGAGGAUGAUGAGCCACACUGGAACUGAGACACGGUCCAGACUCCUACGGGAGGCAGCAGUGGGGAAUAUUGGACAAUGGGCGCAAGCCUGAUCCAGCCAUACCGCGUGGUUGAAGAAGGCCUUCGGGUUGUAAAGCCCUUUGUUGGGAAAGAAAUCCUAUCGGUUAAUAACCGGUGGGGAUGACGGUACCCAAAGAAUAAGCACCGGCUAACUUCGUGCCAGCAGCCGCGGUAAAAC
rnacentral:rRNA from 1 species